AUUGAACGCUGGCGGCAUGCCUUACACAUGCAAGUCGAACGGCAGCACGGGAGCAAUCCUGGUGGCGAGUGGCGAACGGGUGAGUAAUAUAUCGGAACGUGCCCAGUCGUGGGGGAUAACGCAGCGAAAGUUGUGCUAAUACCGCAUACGAUCUAUGGAUGAAAGCGGGGGAGUCGCAAGACCUCGCGCGAUUGGAGCGGCCGAUAUCAGAUUAGGUUGUUGGUGAGGUAAAAGCUCACCAAGCCUGCGAUCUGUAGCUGGUCUGAGAGGACGACCAGCCACACUGGAACUGAGACACGGUCCAGACUCCUACGGGAGGCAGCAGUGGGGAAUUUUGGACAAUGGACGAAAGUCUGAUCCAGCAAUGCCGCGUGCAGGACGAAGGCCUUCGGGUUGUAAACUGCUUUGUACAGAACGAAAAGUACUUAAUAACACUAGAGGCUCAUGACGGUACUGUAAGAUAAGCACGGCUACUACG
rnacentral:rRNA from 1 species